AGACUUUCGCCGCGUCAAGGUUCUCCCUGCCGGCAUUGCCGGGAGGGAGCUAAGAGGGAAUCCGGUGACCUUUCGGGGAAUGCCGGAGCUGACCCGCAACUGUGAGCGGAGAGCCGCUUUGCCAUCGAUGUCACUGGCGUUUUAGCCGGGAAGACAGGCAAAGCAGCGAUGACCCGCGAGCCAGGAGACCUGCCUGACCGCAUAGAGUUCCG
rnacentral:ncRNA from 18 species